rnacentral:rRNA from 1 species
AGGAAAUAGAUACCCUGGUAGUCCACGCCGUAAACGAUGAGCACUAGGUUAUUGGGGGUAUUGACUCCCUCAGUGAACGCAGCUAACGCAUUAAGUGCUCCGCCUGGGGAAGUACGGUCGCAAGACGUAAAACCUCAAACAAAUUGACGGGGGCCCGCACAAGCGGUGGAUUAUGUGGUUUAAUUCGAAGACAACGCGUCAGAACCUUACCUAGGCUUGUAACUCCUAACGAAACCUCUUGUAAUGGAGAGGGUGUCCGCAAGGAAAUGUAGUGAGAGGUGCUGCAUGGCUGUCGUCAGCUCGUGUU